rnacentral:misc_RNA from 1 species
UGUUAGGCUGCUGCUGCUGUUGUUGAUGCGAGAAAAAUGAAGAGGCCGACUGCUGAACCCCCCUGUUGAAUAGGUUUCCAUUGAUGUUUGGAACUUGGCCGGUGGCUAUCUUAAGUCGCUGCACUUCUUCUCUCAGAGCUUCAUUUAGAGCAUCACGAAGAUGAGCCUGCUGCUCCAUAGCUUGCAGCCGCAACUUGAGCUCCCUGUUCUCAGCAGUCAAACCAGUGGUGUCUCUCUGCAUCAGAGUAAGUUGGGCGGACAAAGUGGUUGCUUCUGUCUGAAGCAUUUGGACUUUCCGUUCUAGCUCACUCGUAUAACGAAUCUUCCUCUCCUUCGAUCGUGCUGCAGAUUGCCUAUUUGCAAGAAUCCUCUUAGCUCUCUUCGGAUCCAGCAGCGCCAGCUCCGCCAGCUUAUCCG